rnacentral:ncRNA from 2 species
AGAGGAAGCCGGUGCGAGUCCGGCGCGGUCCCGCCACUGUCACCGGGGAGCACGCUCGGAAGUGCCACGGCGGGCCGUCAGAAGCCGCUGGAAGGCCCGGGGGUGCGUCCGACCCGGAAGCCAGGAGACUC